GAUGAACGCUGGCGGCGUGCCUAACACAUGCAAGUCGAGCGGCAGCGAGGGGUGCUUGCACCCUGUCGGCGAGCGGCGGACGGCUGAGUAACGCGUGGGAACGUGCCCAAAAGUGAGGAAUAACUGCCCGAAAGGGUAGCUAAUACCGCAUAUUAUCUUCGGAUCAAAGGAUUUAUCCGCUUUGGGAGCGGCUCGCGUCGGAUUAGGUAGUUGGCGAGGUAAUGGCUCACCAAGCCGAGGAUCCGUAGCUGGUAUGAGAGGAUGACCAGCCAGACUGGAACUGAGACGCAGUCCAGACUCCUACGCGAGGCAGCAGUGAGGAAUCCUCCACAAUGGGCGAAAGGCUGAUGGCGCAACGCCGCGUGCAGGACGAAGGCCUGCGGGUUGUAAACUGCUUUUAUAAGUGAGGAAUAUGACGGUAACUUAUGAAUAAGGAUCGGCUAACUACGUG
rnacentral:rRNA from 1 species